UUUCCCUGAGGUAACACCGUCGGAACGUAAGCAACUCAUGAGCGGUCGGAAAAGGCACUCACGCAGGAUUCCCCUAGUAACUGCGAGUGAAGCGGGAAAAGCUCAAAUUUAAAAUCUGGCGGUCUUCGGCCGUCCGAGUUGUAAUCUAGAGAAGUGUUAUCCGCGCUGGACCGUGUACAAGUCUCCUGGAAUGGAGCGUCAUAGAGGGUGAGAAUCCCGUCUUUGACACGGACUGCCAGGGCUUUGUGAUGCGCUCUCAAAGAGUCGAGUUGUUUGGGAAUGCAGCUCAAAAUGGGUGGUAAAUUCCAUCUAAAGCUAAAUAUUGGCGAGAGACCGAUAGCGAACAAGUACCGUGAGGGAAAGAUGAAAAGAACUUUGGAAAGAGAGUUAAACAGUACGUGAAAUUGCUGAAAGGGAAACGCUUGAAGUCAGUCGUGUUAGCCGGGGAUCAACCUUGCUUUUGCUGGGCGUACUUUCCGGUUGAUGGGUCAGCAUCAAUUUUGACCGUUGGAUAAAGUUCAGGGGAAUGUGGCAUCUUCGGAUGUGUUAUAGCCCUUGGUCGCAUACAACGGUUGGGAUUGAGGAACUCAGCACGCCGCAAGGCCGGGUACUUGUACCACGUUCGUGCUUAGGAUGCUGGCAUAAUGGCUUUAAUCGACCCGUCUUGAAACACGGACCAAGGAGUCUAACAUGCCUGCGAGUGUUUGGGUGGAAAACUCGGACGCGUAAUGAAAGUGAAAGUUGAGAUCCCUGUCGCGGGGAGCAUCGACGCCCGGACCAGACCUUUUGUGACGGAUCCGCGGUAGAGCAUGUAUGUUGGGACCCGAAAGAUGGUGAACUAUGCCUGAAUAGGGUGAAGCCAGAGGAAACUCUGGUGGAGGCUCGUAGCGAUUCUGACGUGCAAAUCGAUCGUCAAAUUUGGGUAUAGGGGCGAAAGACUAAUCGAACCAUCUAGUAGCUGGUUCUGCCGA
rnacentral:rRNA from 1 species